rnacentral:hammerhead_ribozyme from 1 species
AGCUAGCGGACGAGUCCCAAAUAGGAUGAAAUGCGCAUUUUCCUGGAU